AGCAUUAAGGUGGGUGGGAUAAUAUAACGAUAUUCUCCUUGUUGUUAUAGUAUUCCACCUACCCUGAUGUC
rfam:Salmo salar isolate Sally breed double haploid chromosome ssa09, whole genome shotgun sequence.